AUGAAGAAGGGCAUAGUAAUCGACGAAAUGCUUCGGGGAGUUGAAAAUAAGCAUAGAUCUGGAGAUUCCCAAAUAGGGCAACCUUUCGAACUGCUGCUGAAUCCAUGGGCAGUCAAGAGACAACCUGGCGAACUGAAACAUCUUAGUAGCCAGAGGAAAAGAAAGCAAAAUA
rfam:Ipomoea nil DNA, scaffold: scaffold1069, cultivar: Tokyo-kokei standard.